AUUGAACGCUGGCGGCAGGCUUAACACAUGCAAGUCGAGCGGGGUGAUGGUGCUUGCACUAUCACUUAGCGGCGGACGGGUGAGUAAUGCUUAGGAAUCUGCCUAUUAGUGGGGGACAACAUCUCGAAAGGGAUGCUAAUACCGCAUACGUCCUACGGGAGAAAGCAGGGGAUCACUUGUGACCUUGCGCUAGUAGAUGAGCCUAAGUCGGAUUAGCUGGUUGGUGGGGUAAAGGCCUACCAAGGCGACGAUCUGUAGCGGGUCUGAGAGGAUGAUCCGCCACACUGGGUCUGAGACACGGCCCAGACUCCUACGGGAGGCAGCAGUGGGGAAUAUUGGACAAUGGGGGGAACCCUGAUCCAGCCAUGCCGCGUGUGUGAAGAAGGCCUUAUGGUUGUAAAGCACUUUAAGCGAGGAGGAGGCUACUUUAGUUAAUUCCUAGAGAUAGUGGACGUUACUCGCAGAAUAAGCACCGGCUAACUCUGUGCCAGCCGCCGCCGUAA
rnacentral:rRNA from 1 species